UUGUUUUUCUCUAAAACUUUCCAUAGACUCAGAUGAAAAACCCCUGUCCUUGAUUGUCCUUUACUCUGGCAACUCUGUGUUUUUGUAGGACUAUCUGCUGUGGAAUCGGCUCGGGGCCACGCUGGCAAAUGGGGACCGCAGUGAGGAGGCAGUGGAGGCCUAUACCAGAGCUCUAGAGCUCCAGCCAGGCUUCAUCCGUUCGAGAUACAACCUCGGCAUCAGCUGCAUCAACCUAGGGGCACAUCGGGAGGCAGUGAACAACUUCCUGACAGCUCUGCACCAGCAAAGAAAGAGCAGGAGUCAUCAGGUGAUGUCCAGCAACAUCUGGGCAGCUCUGAGGAUUGCCCUCUCCCUCAUGAACCAACCAGAACUUUUCCAGGCAGCCAGUGUGGGAGAUCUGGACCUCCUAAUGAGGGCCUUCAACAUGGACAUGUGAUUAAACUUGGACCUGUGAUAUCUUUCAUUCACGUACAGUAGGCACAAAGUUAGGCUCAAAUGACUAUGGGAUGUCAAUUAAUAUGCAAAGUAUGCACAGCUAA